AUUGAACGCUGGCGGCAGGCCUAACACAUGCAAGUCGAGCGGAUGAGAAGAGCUUGCUCUUCGAUUCAGCGGCGGACGGGUGAGUAAUGCCUAGGAAUCUGCCUGGUAGUGGGGGACGACGUUUCGAAAGGAACGCUAAUACCGCAUACGUCCUACGGGAGAAAGCAGGGGACCUUCGGGCCUUGCGCUAUCAUAUGAGCCCAGGUCGGAUUAGCUAGUUGGUGAGGUAAUGGCUCACCAAGGCGACGAUCCGUAACUGGUCUGAGAGGAUGAUCAGUCAAACUGGAACUGAGACACGGUCCAGACUCCUACGGGAGGCAGCAGUGGGGAAUAUUGGACAAUGGGCGAAAGCCUGAUCCAGCCAUGCCGCGUGUGUGAAGAAGGUCUUCGGAUUGUAAAGCACUUUAAGUUGGGAGGAAGGGCAGUAAGUUAAUACCUUGCUGUUUUGACGUUACCGACAGAAUAAGCACCGGCUAACUCUGUGCCAGCCGCCGCAGUAAGAC
rnacentral:rRNA from 1 species